GUACAUAGCUACAGCCAUGCUGAACAAGCCUGAUCCCGUCUGAUUUUGGAAGCUAAGCAGGGUCGGUUCUGGUUAGUACUUGGAUGGGAGAUCACUUAGGAAGACCAGGUGCUGUAGGCA
ensembl:rRNA 5S_rRNA 5S ribosomal RNA